GAUGAAGAACGCAGCGAAAUGCGAUAAGUAAUGUGAAUUGCAGAAUUCAGUGAAUCAUCGAAUCUUUGAACGCACCUUGCACCCUUUGGCAUUCCGAAGGGUAUGCUCGUUUGAGUGUCAUUGUACUCUCACACUCUCCGAUCCUAUGGAUUCGGGGAGCGGUGGACUUGGGUGUUGCUGCCUUUCCCUGUGGCUCACCUCAAAUGUGUCAGUGCACCUCUUGGUUGGACAUAGUACGGCGUGAUAAGUGUCUUCGCCGGCACCUCGCAAGAGGGUGGCCGAUCGGGAGCUCUGCGCUUUCAAACCGUCUUCGGACAAUUUCUGACAUCUUGACCUCAAAUCGAGUAGGACUACCCGCUGAACUUAAGCAUAUCAAUAAGCGGAGGA
rnacentral:misc_RNA from 1 species